AUUGAACGCUGGCGGCAGGCCUAACACAUGCAAGUCGAACGGUAACAGGAAGCAGCUUGCUGCUUCGCUGACGAGUGGCGGACGGGUGAGUAAUGUCUGGGAAACUGCCCGAUGGAGGGGGAUAACUACUGGAAACGGUAGCUAAUACCGCAUAACGUCGCAAGACCAAAGUGGGGGACCUUCGGGCCUCACACCAUCGGAUGUGCCCAGAUGGGAUUAGCUAGUAGGUGGGGUAAUGGCUCACCUAGGCGACGAUCCCUAGCUGGUCUGAGAGGAUGACCAGCCACACUGGAACUGAGACACGGUCCAGACUCCUACGGGAGGCAGCAGUGGGGAAUAUUGCACAAUGGGCGCAAGCCUGAUGCAGCCAUGCCGCGUGUAUGAAGAAGGCCUUCGGGUUGUAAAGUACUUUCAGCGGGGAGGAAGGCGGUGAAGUUAAUAACUUCACCGAUUGACGUUACCCGCAGAAGAAGCACCGGCUAACUCCGUGCCAGCCGCCGCAGUAAAAC
rnacentral:rRNA from 1 species